rnacentral:lncRNA from 1 species
AAACACUCGAUAUUCCUUGAGUCAGACCUGCAAUUUCUCUGUUCAUGUGAUACACUUUGGUUACAUUCACUUUGUCGAACCUUUCCUUAAACGCUUCCCAAACCUUUUGUGCAUUUGAGGAGUAAACAAUACCUUUUCUGAGCUCUUGAGCCACUGAUACUCAUGAUCCACGACUGUACAAUGGCGUUACAUCGAUCCCACUGAUGCAACUUGAACGGAUCUGCUUCAUAUUUUUCUCUAGUAUAGGUUCCAUCAAUGAAACCUAUUUUGUUCUUCACUAAAAGUGACAUUUUCAUAGAACGACUCCAUUCCGACUAGUUCUCUGUUCCGACCAACAGCUGGGGAACCACUGCAAUCCCCGGCGUGUCUGAGGGAUGAACGAAUAGCGGAUCAUUGCAAUCAAGCAAUUGACUGUUUGCAUGUGAAGAUCCAACUCCAGUUUGUGUAGAAUCACCCGUCAUUGUAGCAAAAUUCGUCAGAAAUUAGGGUUACACAAAAACGAAGAAGAGAGAACUUGAUUUGAGGAAAUUUAGAAGGUAAUUGAAAAGAAAAGAACUAUCAGCAGCUUCAUAUUACAGAUCGUACUGGACCUGCUCUGAUAACAUGAUAAAAUCAAGCUAGAACUGCCAUGGAUAUGGAGGAAAGCUUUGGUGAGAAGAAGAAAAUGCAGAGAGCAACGUAGAGAGAGAAAAACUGCAAUUCUAUUUCUUU